UGGCUCAAUGGUAGAGCGUUCGACUCAAAUACCAGAGGUCGUGGGUUCGAAUCCCAG
rnacentral:tRNA from 1 species